UGAGGGAAAGGCGAAAAGAACCCCGGCGAGGGGAGUGAAAAAGAACCUGAAACCGUGUACGUACAAGCAGUGGGAGCACAGGUUUACCUGUGUGACUGCGUACCUUUUGUAUAAUGGGUCAGCGACUUAUAUUCUGUAGCAAGGUUAACCGUAUAGGGGAGCCGGAGGGAAACCGAGUCUUAAUUGGGCGUUAAGUUGCAGGGUAUAGACCCGAAACCCGGUGAUCUAG
rnacentral:rRNA from 2 species